rnacentral:rRNA from 1 species
CUAAGUGGCGGACGGGUGAGUAAUGUAUAGUUAAUCUGCCCUUUAGAGGGGGAUAACAGUUGGAAACGACUGCUAAUACCCCAUACUCCUUUUAUCUUAAUGAUAAUUGGGAAACGUUUUUUCGCUAAAGGAUGAGACUAUAUGGUAUCAGGUAGUUGGUAGGGUAAGAGCCUACCAAGCCAAUGACGCCUAGCUGGUCCGAGAGGAUGAUCAGCCACACUGGAACUGAGACACGGUCCAG